GGUGAUGUAGCUCAGUCGGUAGAGCAAAGGACUGAAAAUCCUUGUGUCGUUGGUUCGAUUCCAAUCAUCACCA
rfam:Rufibacter sp. DG31D, complete genome.